UACUGGGGGGGUUAGCGUUAUUCCUAUUUAAUUGGUGUAAAGUGUGCGUAGAUGUCGUUAUUAAUUUUAAAAUAAAUUCCAAGGAAAAGUUGGAAGAUUUUUUUAUAAUAUUGUAAUGCUUUGUGUAAAUUAAAGGAUAUGGGAAUUCCUAGUGUAAUGGGAUAAAAUCUAUAAAAAUUAGGAAGAAUAUCAAUUGGCGAAGGCAAGUGUCCUUUUUUUACAAACAUUGAGGCACGAAGGCAUGGGUAGCAAACGGG
rnacentral:rRNA from 1 species